UCUCCGCCCUCCGCCUCGUCCUCUUCUCCGGCGCCGCCACCCCACCCCUUCUAUCCAGCGGUGUCGCCUCUCCUCCCCGGUACGUGAGCCGCCGCCUCGCCGGCGCCCCUCCUCCUCCUCCUAUCUUCCGCCGUCUCGCCGCUGCAGUCGUCCCCGUGAGCAAGCUAUCUAGGCUAAGGUUCAUCGGAAAGAAAGGAAAAAAAUCCCCAUUCCCUCAGCCGUCUCCUAUGCCUCGCUGCCCGCCUACUCUUCCUCUCUGCAUCAUCGUGUUUAUCCUCGACGCAGAAGGAUAGCGUGGACUGAAGAGACGCCCUGCCGCUGUGCUCCUUUUUGUGGGGACGGGGACGGGGACGGAGGGCCCGGGGGCGGCAAGUUUCGUCGGAUGGUGGCGGCCGUCGCCUCGGAGGGCGCAGGGGGAGGCGCGCUGCUCGCGUCGCUCACGGAGCUCUGCGAGGCGCUCUCGUUCUGCACGGAGGACAUCGGGGACUACUUCCCCGUCGAGUCCGCCGCGCGGGCGCUCGUGCAGCUGGCCGGCGCCGAGGUCGCCAGUCCCGACGAGAUGCUGCUCGCCGUGCGCGCCAUCACCUGCAGGUAUUUUCAGGAGUUGAGAGAAGCACCCUUCUCUCUUGUGUGAUGCAGCUUCGAGUUCUCUGUUUCACUGAGUAUUUUUGAAAGGACUAAUUGAUCUUCAAAUCCAAAUAUAUGUACAAUUCAGAUAUUUCACUGAGCUUCUAUUUUUGUGGAAAGCAAAUAUAUGUACUCCAAAAUCCAAAUUGAUCUUCAGAGUCAAUUACUAUGGCAUAUUUUUUUCCUCAUCUACAUACUUUUACAGAUUGGUUUUUUGCCUUUUUGUGGCAUCUUUCGUUUCAUCUGUUAAUAUAGCCACAAUCAGUGACUUAAACCUCUAAUAUCUUGAGUCAAGAUUCCUUCUUAAAGUGAAUUUUUUUGUUUAUUCUGCUGCUUCAAUGAUUGGCUAUCUAUAUAUUUGGGUCUGGCUUACAGGUGGCAUUUCUUUUCCCUUUUCUGUAGGAUAGAACUUUUCACUGUAAGCUGCUAACUUAGCAGUAAUCUACUAUUCAAUUUACAUGUUAUGACUACAGAUAACAAGGUUUGUAUUUUCUACUCAGGUGGUUGGAUAUUACUCCCUCCGUUCCAAAAUAGAUAACCCAACUUUAUACUAAAGUUAGUAUAAAGUUGAAUCAUCUAUUUUGAAACGGAGGGAGUAGUUAUGAAGGUUGUCCCUGGAUUUUUGCUCUAUCGGCGACUGCAUGAGCUUGGUCAAUAUGCAUUCUCUGGGAGCCAGCCAUAAAGAAGGAAUUCCUACUGUAUCCUGCGGCAUUCUUGGUCAGGUACUAAAUAUAACCAGAUGAACUGUUUUUGCAAACGACUGAGUGCUAAUUACACGAGUUCAAAGAUUAAGCUGAGUCCGAUCUAUUUUUCUGUCAAUAUAGUUUGAAGGUAAAUCGUUUUACAGUCAUCCAGUUAGAACUUGACCAGACAACAUGCAUGGUGGUUUGUAGUUUGUUGACAUGAAUGUCAAACAGUUUAUAUCUGCAUAAUUCUAGAAGUGCUCUCUUAUAAUAAUCCUCGGUACAAGUUGUAUCAGACUAGCAGUAUAAUGUUGGAUGAAUUGAUUUAAUUAAUUAGUGACUGUUUUUGCAUGAGAUGAUCAUUGACUUUAGUUAUGUUUGUGAAAUAUGCAUAAAGAAUUUUUUGUGUUGUGCCCAUGUCCCAUGCAUAUAUGAUUUCCUUUUGCUACGUAUGUAUUCAUGUAUAUACCACAUCCAUUUGGCUGAGUUGCUUGCCUUGCUUACUUCUACAAAUAAAGUCGUUUCAUAUUGGAAUUAUGAAAAAUGAUUUCUAUUUUCUUUGAAGACCAAGGAAUCAUAUUUUAUUUAUUUUCUGGAAAA